GUGCUUACUUCAGCAGCACAUAGACUAAAAGUGGAACGAUACAGAGAAGAUUAGCAUGGCCCCGGUGCAAGGAUAACACGAAAAUUCAUGAAGCGUUCCACAUUUUU
rnacentral:snRNA from 1 species